UACGAAGGGGGCUAGCGUUGUUCGGAUUUACUGGGCGUAAAGCGCACGUAGGCGGAUUGUUAAGUCGGGGGUGAAAUCCUGAAGCUCAACUCCAGAAUUGCCUUCGAUACUGGCUUUCUAGAGGCUGGAAGAGGUUAGUGGAAUUCCCAGUGUAGAGGUGAAAUUCGUAGAUAUUGGGAAGAACACCAGUGGCGAAGGCGGCUAACUGGUCCAGAUCUGACGCUGAGGUGCGAAAGUGUGGGGAGCAAACAGG
rnacentral:rRNA from 1 species